rnacentral:rRNA from 1 species
AGGAUGAACGCUGGCGGCGUGCUUAACACAUGCAAGUCGAACGAUGAAGGCUGGAGCUUGCUCUGGCUGGAUUAGUGGCGAACGGGUGAGUAACACGUGAGUAACCUGCCCCAGACUCUGGGAUAAGCGCUGGAAACGGCGUCUAAUACCGGAUACGAGCUUCCACCGCAUGGUGAGGAGCUAGGAAAGAAUUUCGGUCUGGGAUGGACUCGCGGCCUAUCAGCUUGUUGGUGAGGUAAUGGCUCACCAAGGCGACGACGGGUAGCCGGCCUGGAGACGGGUCGACCGGCCACGACCGUGGGACUGAGACCACGGCCCAGGACUCCGUACGGGAGGCAGCGAGUAGGGAAUAUGCACGAAGU